rnacentral:rRNA from 1 species
GCCAGACUCCUACGGGAGGCAGCAGUGAGGAAUAUUGGUCAAUGGCCGGAAGGCUGAACCAGCCAAGCCGCGUGAAGGACGAAGGUGCCAAGCAUUGUAAACUUCUUUUGUCGAGGGACAAAAUCAGGCUCGAGAGCCUGACCGAGGGUACUUGAAGAAAAAGCAUCGGCUAACUCCGUGCCAGCAGCCGCGGUAAUACGGAGGAUGCGAGCGUUAUCCGGAUUUAUUGGGUUUAAAGGGUGCGUAGGCGGAGUGUCAAGUCAGCGGUAAAAUUUCGGGGCUCAACCCCGUCGUGCCGUUGAAACUGACGCCCUUGAGUGCGCGAGAAGUAUGCGGAAUGCGUGGUGUAGCGGUGAAAUGCAUAGAUAUCACGCAGAACUCCGAUUGCGAAGGCAGCAUACCGGCGCGCAACUGACGCUCAUGCACGAAAGCGUGGGUAUCGAACAGGAUUAGAUACCCCCGUAAA